GUAGGUAGGGAGGGAAGUAUUUUCUGUUUGUCGAGAUUGACAUGGUCUAUUUGAUUGUGGUGUUGAAAAUGCAAACCUUGAUGUUGAAGUGCCCGAAGUUGGUAUGCUUUGCUUAUUGGUUGUAUGGUGCAUUGGCACAGAAACCUGUUGGUGGAAAAUAAAUUGCAUAUACAGUAUUUAUAAACAGUGAGCUCCAAAAGUAUUGGGACAGUAACACAUUUGUUGAUGUUUUGGCUCUGUACUCCAGCACUUUGGAUUUGAAAUGAUACAAUGACUAUGAGGUUCAAGUGCAGACUGUCAGCUUUAAUUUGAGGAUAUUUUCAAAUUAAUUGUCCCACCAUUUCAGGGGACCAAAAGUAUUACUAUUAAAAUAGUAAAAAGUUAAGUAUUUGGUCUCAUAUUCCUAGCAUGCAAUGACUACAUCAAGCUUGUGACAGUAGAAACUUGAAAAUAUCCUCAAAUUAAAGCUGACAGCCUGCACUUUAAACUCAUAGUCAUUGUAUCAUUCAAAUCCAAAGCUCUAGAUUACAGAGCCAAAACAACAAUACUUUUGGAGCUCACUGUAAUUAUAAAUAUACCAUCAAAAUGUUGAAAAUCAUUGUCUGCAGCCGGCUUUGAUCGUAGUGUAAUGACACAGGCAGAGAGAGUGAGUGGUCGAAGAACCAUCAACCUUCUGGCCCGUAACCCUGUGUGGCAUCAAUUGUGCCACUACAAAAACAUGCUGAAGUGGAAAAGUCGAUAUCCACAUUUAUAAACACAAGGCCAAUCAAGGAAUUCAGCUAAUGAAGCUAGCAGAAAACCUCUUAGUUGCACUGAGAUAUUCAUGGUCGUUGUGAAGCAAAGUGGAACGACAUUUGCAUGCAUGAUGCGGUGAAUUGUGCGUAACAAGCUGAUGCCGGGGUCAGCGGAGCUCCCAAGUGACCAGCGACAGGGCCAACAGCCAACUGACUGCCUUCUCUACUCUGACCUCCCUUCGUUAGUAACCCCCUCCCUGGGCUUCUCCUCAGACCUGGGGCUGCUAGGGGGACCUAUUUGUGGUCCGCCACUCGUCUGAGGGGAAGGGGAUAGAGACUGAAGGAACAACAGCUGCUGAUGGGGACAUCACGCUUCCCAUGGAAGAGCAGCAUCCUCCUGAGAGAAGGUGCUGUAAUCUGCAAUAAUCGAAUUCUCAGACAUGCAUGAUAGCCAUAGUAUGUCUCGAAGCCACAUUGUACGUGAGUGAACACAUGACAUUGAACAUAUUGACACAUGACGUCGUGUGAUCUAUAUUGUAUUUACAAAAACAAUCAACAGUGCAAGUCAUAUGAUGAUCUUACAUGGAAAGCUCUUGAAAACGUUCACAGACACACACAAACAGAGAUAUAAAAGCAGUGUUAAAUAGACAAAGUGUUAUUAAAUGUAUUUUGUGUAAAGAGAAUCUUCUGGGGUGCCAGAGGAAUGCAAAGAAUUGUAGGCACUUUUUUCUGACAUGGUAUAGUGAUGCCAUCUAGAGUUGCAAUGUGUAACAUUCACACACAGCAAAGAGCCCAGUGGGUUCACUAGUAGCAAUACAAGGUGACAUCAUCUGUCUGAUAAACAGUCUUGUCUGUUUAAUAAUUUAUUUAAUAAAGUGUUAUUUACUUAAUUGACUUAAUUUUGAGUGAAUCUGGAUUCUGCUUAUUCCACAUAUUCAACUUGGUUCAAAAAAAUCAUACAUGUAUGAAAAAAAGUCAACAAUCCUAAAUUGGUUUAGACAUGAUUCUUCCGC
rnacentral:lncRNA from 1 species